rnacentral:rRNA from 1 species
GGCGAACGGGUGCGUAACACGUAAGUAAUCUGCCCCCGACUCUGGGAUAACGCUUCGAAAGAGGCGCUAAUACUAGAUAGUUCCUAGUGGCACAGGCUGUUAGGGGAAAGUUGGCUUCGGCCUUCGGUCUGGGAUGAGCUUGCGGCCCAUUAGCUAGUUGGUGAGGUUAAGGCUCACCAAGGCGACGAUGGGUAGCUGGUCUGAGAGGAUGAUCAGCCACACUGGCACUGAGACACGGGCCAGACUCCUACGGGAGGCAGCAGUGGGAAUUUUGCGCAAUGGGCGGAAGCCUGACGCAGUAACGCCGCGUGAAGGAUGAAGGCCCUCGGGUCGUAAACUUCUGACUGGGGGAAAGAUGAUGACGGUACCCCCAAAGAAAGCCCCGGCUAAUUCCGUGCCAGCAGCCGCGGUAAUACGGAAGGGGCAAGCGUUGUUCGGAAUCAUUGGGCGUAAAGGGCGUGUAGGCGGUUUCAUAUGUCCGCUGUGAAAGCACACGGCUCAACCGUGUUCAGCCGCGGAAACUGUGAGACUUGAGACUGGGAGGGGCUGGUGGAAUUCCCUGUGUAGCGGUGAAAUGCGUAGAGAUGGGGGAGAACACUCGUGGCGAAGGCGGCCAGCUGGACCAGUUCUGACGCUAAGGCGCGAAAGCGUGGGGAGCAAACAGGAUUAGAUACCCUGGUAGUCCACGCUGUAAACGAUGGGCACUAGGUGUCGGCGGUAUACAUCCCGUCGGUGCCGGCGCUAACGCAGUAAGUGCCCCGCCUGGGGAGUACGGUCGCAAGGCUGAAACUCAAACGAAUUGACGG